rnacentral:rRNA from 1 species
UACGUAGGUGGCAAGCGUUGUCCGGAAUUACUGGGUGUAAAGGGAGCGCAGGCGGGAAGCUAAGUCAGCUGUGAAAACUCCAGGCUCAACCUGGAGACUGCAGUUGAAACUGGUUUUCUUGAGUGAAGUAGAGGUAGGCGGAAUUCCGAGUGUAGCGGUGAAAUGCGUAGAUAUUCGGAGGAACACCAGUGGCGAAGGCGGCCUACUGGGCUUUAACUGACGCUGAGGCUCGAAAGUGUGGGGAGCAAACAGG